AUGGCCCAUCCAGCUAAAUUAGGCCUUCAGGAUACCACAUCCCCUAUUAUAGAAGAACCACUUAUCUUCCAUGACCAUACCCUUAUAAUUAUUUUUCUAAUCAGUUCCUUACUUCUAUACAUUAUUUCUGUAAUAUUCACAACAAAACUAAUACUAACACCAUAGAUGCCCAAGAACUAGAAACCAUCUGAACUAUCUUGCCUGCCAUCAUCUUAGUCUUGAUCGCCCUCCCAUCUCUAUGCAUCUUAUAUAUAACAGACAAAAUCAAGAACCCUUCUCUCACCAUUAAAACAAUUGGGCAUCAAUGGUAUUGAAGCUAUGAAUAUACAGAUUAUGAAGAAUUAAGCUUUGACUCUCAUAUACU
rnacentral:lncRNA from 1 species